rnacentral:rRNA from 1 species
UGGGGAAUUUUCUGCAAUGGGCGAAAGCCUGACAGAGCAAUACUGCGUGAGGGAUGACGGCUUUCGAGUUGUAAACCUCUUUUAUCAAGGAAGAAGAUCUGACGUUACUUGAUGAAUAAGCAUCGGCUAACUCCGUGCCAGCAGCCGCGGUAAUACGGAGGAUGCAAGUGUUAUCCGGAAUCACUGGGCGUAAAGCGUCUGUAGGUGGUUUAGCAAGUCCGUUGUUAAAGGCUGAGGCUCAACCUUGGUAUGGCAAUAGAUACUACUAGACUAGAGGAUUGUAGAGGUAGAGGGAAUUUCCAGUGGAGCGGUGAAAUGCGUAGAGAUUGGAAAGAACACCAAAGGCGAAGGCACUCUACUGGGCAAUACCUGACACUGAGAGACGAAAGCUAGGGUAGCAAAUGGGAUUAGAUACCCCCGUAGUCC